rnacentral:rRNA from 2 species
CUGGGGUGAAGUCGUAACAAGGUAACCGUAGGGGAACCUGCGGUUGGAUCACCUCCUUACCUUAAAGAAGC